AGAAAGUGUUGGCCUGUGGCUCCACUCACUUCCGUCAGCCCCAGGAGCCUUGGUGGGGGGCAGGAGGGAGGGCCAGGCAGGGCUGGGGACCUG
rnacentral:pre_miRNA from 1 species